UACGUAAGUGGCAAGCGUUGUCCGGAUUUAUUGGGUUUAAAGGGUGCGUAGGCGGCCUUGUAAGUCAGUGGUGAAAUACUCCAGCUCAACUGGAGGGGUGCCAAUGAUACUGCAGGGCUUGAGUACAGAUGAGGUAGGCGGAAUUGACGGUGUAGCGGUGAAAUGCAUAGAUAUCGUCAAGAACACCGAUAGCGAAGGCAGCUUACUGGGCUGUAACUGACGCUGAGGCACGAAAGUGUGGGGAUCAAACAGG
rnacentral:rRNA from 1 species